rnacentral:rRNA from 1 species
CGCAUCACUGGUGUUCGGGUUGUCAUGCCAAUGGCACUGCCCGGUAGCUAAAUGCGGAAGAGAUAAGUGCUGAAAGCAUCUAAGCACGAAACUUGCCCCGAGAUGAGUUCUCCCUGACUCCUUGAGAGUCCUGAAGGAACGUUGAAGACGACGACGUUGAUAGGCCGGGUGUGUAAGCGCAGCGAUGCGUUGAGCUAACCGGUACUAAUGAACCGUGAGGCUUAACCUU